UACGGAGGGUGCGAGCGUUGUCCGGAAUCAUUGGGCGUAAAGCGCGUGUAGGCGGCUCGAUAAGUCUGCUGUGAAAGUUCAGGGCUCAACCCUGAAAUGCCGGUGGAAACUGUCGAGCUAGAGUCCGGAAGAGGCGAGUGGAAUUCCUGGUGUAGCGGUGAAAUGCGCAGAUAUCAGGAGGAACACCAAUGGCGAAGGCAGCUCGCUGGGACGGUACUGACGCUGAGACGCGAAAGCGUGGGGAGCAAACAGG
rnacentral:rRNA from 1 species